rnacentral:rRNA from 1 species
UACGUAGGGUGCAAGCGUUGUCCGGAAUUAUUGGGCGUAAAGAGCUCGUAGGCGGUCUGUCACGUCGGCUGUGAAAACCCGAGGCUCAACCUCGGGCCUGCAGUCGAUACGGGCAAACUAGAGUACUGCAGGGGAGACUGGAAUUCCUGGUGUAGCGGUGAAAUGCGCAGAUAUCAGGAGGAACACCGAUGGCGAAGGCAGGUCUCUGGGCCACUACUGACGCUGAGAAGCGAAAGCAUGGGGAGCGAACAGG